rnacentral:rRNA from 1 species
UGGGGAAUAUUGCACAAUGGGCGCAAGCCUGAAUGCAGCGACGCCGCGUGCGGGAUGGAGGCCUUCGGGUUGUAAACCGCUUUUGUUCAAGGGCAAGGCAGGCUUUCGGGCCUGUUGAGUGGAUUGUUCGAAUAAGCACCGGCUAACUACGUGCC